rnacentral:rRNA from 1 species
UACGAAGGGUGCAAGCGUUACUCGGAAUUACUGGGCGUAAAGGGUGCGUAGGUGGUUAGGUAAGUCGGAUGUGAAAUCUCCGAGCUCAACUCGGAAACUGCAUUGGAAACUACCUGGCCAGAGGGUUGGAGGGGGGACUGGAAUGCUUGGUGUAGCAGUGAAAUGCGUAGAUAUCAAGCGGAACACCAGUGGCGAAGGCGAGUCCCUGGACAACUCCUGACACUGAUGCACGAAAGCUAGGGGAGCAAACAGG